CGGUAUUGUCCACCACUAUCUACGACUCUGACUGAAAUCGAAAUAAAGAAAGCAAGAUUUGUGACAAUGGUGCGAGUAAAUUCAUCGAUCUUACGCUGCAAGUGGAUUUCUUAUCCGUUUAGAUUGUAAUUUCGGGGAAAGCGAGACGUCAGUCAAAGUGCAUAUUAACGUUGCACCCGUGAACAUGGAAAAAGAGGUGCGAGAGAAAAGAUCUCUCUGGGCCGUGGUGGCGAAACGAAACUUUAUUACGUUCGUUCUGGUCAAAUGCCGCCAGCACGCCAUCAUGAAGCCGACCCUAUGAUCUGUUGCUGGCAAUUACUUUUCUUACGAGUGGACGUGAAAAUCAUGGGAAACAUACGUUGCAGAAUGUGAGGAGUAUCGUGGAGGAAAAUUUUCGAAUGUUAGAUGGCGUUUGAACGCGCGAAGUUGGUGAAUGUCGCGCGUGCUCUCGAUCAUAUCUCGCAGAGUGCACGAUAAUUCACACGAGAGCAAGCUAUUAAUAAUCUCCUGUGACUUGCGAGUAAAAGCCGCCUGGGACAAGAAUGGAUGAAGAAGAGGCUACGAGAAAGAGAGAAAUAUGUUGUGAAAAUGGCGGACGAGACCGAGGAUACUCGAGCGAUGCUCAUUACACUUCCGUAGUUGCCACCCGGAAUCGUCGUGAGUGAAUAAUUAAGAAAGUAAAAAGGACAAUUCUCCUCAUAGUUUUCACUCGAAAGCAUAAAUUGUAAAACCAUAUAUUCGUUAAAUUUAACAUGUUCAAGCAAUUUAUUGAUACCAAAUUGAAUUUGUAAGAUAGACGAUUACUAUUUUUCUAAAGUUUUUAUUUUUAAAUAAUAUCAGUCACACAAUGGUGACUGAUUCGCAUAAUAAAUAGUUUAACUCUCUACAUAA